rnacentral:rRNA from 1 species
CUACUCCUACGGGAGGCAGCAGUAGGGAAUCUUCGGCAAUGGGGGCAACCCUGACCGAGCAACGCCGCGUGAGUGAAGAAGGUUUUCGGAUCGUAAAGCUCUGUUGUAAGAGAAGAACGUGUGUGAGAGUGGAAAGUUCACACAGUGACGGUAACUACAGAAAGCCCCGCC